rnacentral:rRNA from 1 species
UACGUAGGGUGCGAGCGUUACUCGGAAUUACUGGGCGUAAAGCGUGCGCAGGCGGUUCGUCGUGUCGGCGGUGAAAGCCCCGGGCUCAACCUGGGAAUGGCCGUUGAAACUGGCGAACUGGAGUGUGGCAGAGGGGGGUGGAAUUCCGCGUGUAGCAGUGAAAUGCGUAGAGAUGCGGAGGAACACCGAUGGCGAAGGCAGCCCCCUGGGCUGACACUGACGCUCAGGCACGAAAGCGUGGGGAGCAAACAGG